rnacentral:lncRNA from 1 species
CCCAGGGUGUGGUGGAGGAUGGCUGCAGGUCGGGUCGGUGACGGAGGCCAGGCGGGGCAGAGAGGCAGACCUCUGCACGUCCCCAGCUCCAGCCACACCUGUGCAUGUGGGACCGUGUGGCCUUCUGGUUCAUCAGGUGCAAAGACGAUUGGCUACUGGCUGUGGCAAAGCUUGCCCACCCUGGGUAGGAUGGGUAGGAUGGGAGAAGGAGAGGACAGGUGCCCGGCCUGGGGGGCUGGACCUUGGCGGUACCACAGGCCCCUCCUGGCGCUCCUCCCCUGGACCCCCCUCCACUCUGGGGCCCUCUGCUCGUCCUGCCCUCUGCCCCUGUACUGUCACCCAGGUUUAGGCUUGACCUGGUGAUUUGUCCCUGUAACCAGCUCCUGUCUCAGCUCACUGACCCUCCUACCUGUCCUCCUCUGUCCUGCUGCCUCCUUGGCCUCGAGACCAAGACCAUGGGACCAGGAGGGGUCGAACAGUCGGUGGCAGUGGCAGGACACCCGGGUUGCUGUUUGUUUGCGACUUUAAAGAGCACAGUGUGACAGCCCCACACCCAGGUCCUCCAGAAAACGUGGGAAUGGUGUACAGUGUGCGUGUGUGUGGAUAGUGUGCACAUGUGGUGUGUGCACGGUGGCUGCCCUGUGUAGGUUGUGUGCGUGUGUGCCUGUGUGUGUGUGUGUAUGGGCUGUGCGUGUUGUAAUGUGUAUGUGGGUGUGUGUGUGAGCGUGUGCAAAUGGAUGGCUGUGGUCUGCACAGCAGGACUGGCUGGGCUCAGAAUCCAAUGUGCCCCUGGCUAGGACCUGGUGACCUCCCAUGAGGUGGCCUGUCCCAGUUACAGCACAGCUGCCUGUCCCCAGCUGGUGGGGACUUGGGCAUUGUGAGGCCCCUCUGCUGGUGGUCACUCCUCUUCAAUCUCAGAACUGCCUUCUGAGUGUGACUGCAGGGAAGUGACCUUGGCUUCGAUCCCCAGGGGCCCCAACUUCUGGAUUUCUGGGGCUGGACGGCUGGACGGGGCAUGCCCCAUGCUGCUGCCUCUGUGGGUGCAGGUGUGUGGGGGCCAAGGGAAAGCCCAGUGCUCAGGCUGCCCAGGUGUGUGGGGGCCACGGGAGGGCUCUGUGCUCAUCGGAAGUCCAGUGCUCAGGCUGCCCAGGUGUGUGGGGGCCACGGGAGAGCCCAGUGCUCAGGCUGCCCAGGUUUGUGGGGGCCACGGGAGAGCCCAGUGCUCAGGCUGCCUUUCUCCUAGUCCGUAAAUUGUCAGUGGCAAAUAGAGUUCCAACAGGCACCUGGGGAGCUGGGCGCAGUCUGGCUGGUUUUAUUGAAGGUUUAUGAGUGAUGGCAGAGCAGUUACCAGCAGGUUUAUGGAGGUGUCGGGGGAUGGCGUAGAAGGUGUCCCUGGCGCCCUCCCCGAUUGUUCUGAGCCCCCCCCCCCCCAGGCCAGCCGCUGUGCUGAAAGCCGAGAGCCUGCACCAGGCGCGGGACGCACUCUGCGCUCCUCAGGGAAAGGCCGAGCUGCGGGUCUUCCUCCCACUGUGCUUUUCCCCCUCUGGUGUCCUUGGCACUCCCCGUGGAGCAGGUGGCUCCUGGCUGGAGACACCGUGGGAGCUCGCCGAGGCUCUCUGCUACACAGCAGGGUUCUGCUCGUCACUGCGUAUUUUGGAACUGAGGUGUCUGAUUUGGGCGGUCGCUCAGAGCUCCCCCGACGCUGGAGGCUGUGCGGUUCUCAGAGGAGGCUCUCCUGGGGAGGGCUGGUCCUCAGACUGGGGGCGCCAGCCUCGGGUUGGGAGGGACGGCCGCUGGACCAGGCUCAGUCACGGGCCAUGAGGACCAGAUCUUGCGGCCUUACCUGGGCCACGGGCACAAUGCGGUGGGCCUGGCAGAGGCCUUGUGAGGGCCAAACGCCACAGCAGAUGCCAAGGGCCUGGCAUGUCAUAAGCACUGGCAGGGUGGCACGGCAGGAACGAUACUGGCCGAGGCCCUGAGGCUGGGGAGGGUCUCGCCUAGAGCCCUACCCAGGGAGGUGCUCUGGGGGUCCCGAAUCCUCCAAGCCCUGUGCUUCUGCCUCUGUCGCUGCCUUUCCUUCCCCUCUUGCCCACGGUGAUGGCGACGGGAGGGCAGCAGCCCCCAUGCCUCCCCUCGCCGACCCCUCUCUGGGCCGCGGCACAAUCAC